rnacentral:tRNA from 1 species
GCCCCUGUAGCAUAGCGGCUAAUGCGCCGGUUUCGUAAACCGGAGACCGGGAGUUCAAACAUACUCACUAGCGUUCGUAGCUUUCAACGCUAGGAGGUUGAAAGUCUCCCCAGGGGCU